GGCAUCUCAAUGAGGUUAUUGUUGAGCAGCCAUUACCUAUAAAUCUCACUUUCUGAGUCAAAAUCUGCUCCAGCUUACGGAAAGUAUGUCUGAUGUAAUUUCAGUAACUUCAGCACAAAGGCAUUUCCAGGUGAAACUCGAGAGGCUCAGGGCCAUGCUAUUUGCAGCCUCAUAUAGGAGGCGUUACCAAGCAGUGACUGUGGCUGCUGUGGCCUCUGACAGCUUCUGUCGGGAUAUCUCUGCAGCUCAUAUUGUCAGAAAGGGCAGGUAAAGCCACCGAUGGAAGAUCCCUUCCCAUACUGAUAUUUCUGUGUAUUCUUUCUGGGCUCACGUAUUUCCCAGGACAAUGUUAGCCUGUCAACUACACACCAAAGCAAGGGCCAACAGAGCGCCAGUCUUCUGCCAGUCCACAGAGGAAGAAGAAAACUUGGGCUAUGCCAUUGCUUGCUGUUUUGCUAGUCUGCAGAGAGGGUCCAUAAGGUGAAACUGACAACCAGUUGCUGCUCACCGCUUUACCAUGGCAGUCAUCAGCCUGCAGCUGCUGUAAGCAGCAUUUGUGACAGACAAAUAAACAAUUGAGAAUA